UCAUAUUCACUCACUUCCACCUCUGCUUCCCCAGUGUCCCUGCCCUUCCCUGUCGCCUUCCUCCAUCCCUAAACUCUGCAUGGAAGAAGCCAGGGAAGGGUUUCUUUCACAACCUCCUCCAAGAGGAACUGGGAAUAUUGAUCAUCCAAGAGGAAUUGCUUUAGCUUCUCCCCGCCUCCCCAUUCCAGGAGCACUGUCUAUACUGCUUGCACACUCAGCAUCAUGGCAUCAAGUGCAACUUUGACACUUGUGAGAGAAUGUUGAUGCUGACACUGCUCUUGUGCACCAUUCGUUGUUCUGCAUCACUGCUGAUCUCUUGCACUCUCUUUGCAAUUUGUUCUGGAGUGCAAAUAUGGAGAAUUCACAUUUCAAAGAUAACAUUGUAAAUACCAACAAAACCUCAUUUCCCUCUGA